UACGGGGGGAGUAAGCGUUGUUCGGAUUUACUGGGCGUAAAGGGCGCGUAGGCGGUCAGCACAAGUCAGUUGUGAAAUCUCCGGGCUUAACUCGGAAAGGUCAACUGAUACUGUGCGACUAGAGUGCAGAAGGGGCAACUGGAAUUCUCGGUGUAGCGGUGAAAUGCGCAGAUAUCAGGAGGAACACCGGUGGCGAAGGCGGGUCUCUGGGCCGAUGACUGACGCUGAGGCACGAAGGCCAGGGGAGCAAACGGG
rnacentral:rRNA from 1 species